rnacentral:rRNA from 1 species
AGUGAACGCUGGCGGUAGGCCUAACACAUGCAAGUCGAACGGCAGCACAGUAAGAGCUUGCUCUUACGGGUGGCGAGUGGCGGACGGGUGAGGAAUACAUCGGAAUCUACUUUUUCGUGGGGGAUAACGUAGGGAAACUUACGCUAAUACCGCAUACGACCUACGGGUGAAAGCAGGGGAUCUUCGGACCUUGCGCGAUUGAAUGAGCCGAUGUCGGAUUAGCUAGUUGGCGGGGUAAAGGCCCACCAAGGCGACGAUCCGUAGCUGGUCUGAGAGGAUGAUCAGCCACACUGGCACUGAGACACGGUCCAGACUCCUACGGGAGGCCGCAGUGGGGAAUAUUGGACGAAGGGCGAAAGCCUGAUCCAGCCAUACCGCGUGGGUGAAGAAGGCCUUCGGGUUGUAAAGCCCUUUUGUUGGGAAAGAAAAGCAGCAGGUUAAUCCCCCGCUGUUCUGACGGUACCCAAAGAAUAAGCACCGGCUAACUUCGUG